rnacentral:hammerhead_ribozyme from 1 species
AUCUAGCUGACGAAUCUGAAGUGGGAUGAAACGCGCGUCCUGAAU